CUGCUGCCUUCCGUAGGAGUCUGGUCCGUGUCUCAGUACCAGUGUGGGGGACCUUCCUCUCAGAACCCCUACGCAUCGUCGCCACGGUGGGCCGUUACCCCGCCGUCUAGCUAAUGCGCCGCAUGCCCAUCCUCUUCCGAUGAAUCUUUCCUCGAUCUCGGAUGCCCGAAACCGAUAUACGCGGGAUUAGCCUCCCUUUCGGAAGGUUGUCCCCCUGAAGAAGGCAGGUUGCAUACGUGUUACUCACCCGUGCGCCGGUCGCCGG
rnacentral:rRNA from 1 species